rnacentral:rRNA from 1 species
UGUGACCUCAAAUCAGGUAGGACUACCCGCUGAACUUAAGCAUAUCAAUAAGCGGAGGAAAAGAAACUAACAAGGAUUCCCCUAGUAACUGCGAGUGAAGCGGGAAAAGCUCAAAUUUAAAAUCUGUCAGUCUUUGGCUGUCCGAGUUGUAAUCUAGAGAAGUGUUAUCCGCGCUGGACCGUGUACAA